rnacentral:rRNA from 1 species
CCUACGGGGUGCAACAGUGAGGAAUAUUGGUCAAUGGACGAGAGUCUGAACCAGCCAAGUAGCGUGAAGGAUGACUGCCCUAUGGGUUGUAAACUUCUUUUAUCAAGGAAUCAAACGAGGCACGUGUGCCUUUUUGCAUGUACUUUAUGAAUAAGGAUCGGCUAACUCCGUGCCAGCAGCCGCGGUAAUACUGAGGAUCCGAGCGUUAUCCGGAUUUAUUGGGUUUAAAGGGUGCGCAGGCGGAUUUUUAAGUCAGCGGUCAAAUCGUGGGGCGCAACCCCAUCCAGGCGGUGAAACUGGGGAUCUAGAGUGUGCGAGAGGUAUGCGGAAUGCGUGGUGUAGCGGUGAAAUGCAUAGAGAUCACGCAGAACCCCGAUUGCGAAGGCAGCAGACCGGUGCACAACUGACGCUCAGGCACGAAAGCGUGGGUAUCGAACAGGAUUAGAUACCCGGGUAGUC